UACCUUUCUUCAAGUUUCGUG
rnacentral:piRNA from 1 species